rnacentral:rRNA from 1 species
AGGCGGGGCGACGGCCCACCUGGCCGACGAUCGGUAGGGGUUAUGAGAGGAAGGCCCCCCACAUUGGGAAUGAGACACGGCCCAAACUCCUACGGGAGGCAGCAGUGAGGGAUAUUGGUCAAUGGCCGAGAGGCUGAACCAGCCAAGUUAGCGUGCAGGAUGACGGCCCUAUGGGUUGCAGACUGCUUUUGCGCGGGGAUAACGAGCGGCACGUGUGCCGCGUUGCAGGUACCGCGCGAAUAAGGACCGGCUAAUUCCGUGCCAGCAGCCGCGGUAAUACGGAAGGUCCCGGUGUUAUCCGGAUUUAUUGGGUUUAAAGGGAGCGCAGGCGGAGGAUUAAGCGUGACGUGAAAUGUCCCGGCUCAACCGUGGAACUGCGUCGCGAACUGGUUUUCUUGAGUGAGUGCGACGUCGGCGGAAUUCGUGGUGUAGCGGUGAAAUGCUUAGAUAUCACGAAGAACCCCGAUUGCGAAGGCAGCCGACGAGUCCUUAACUGACGCUAAAGCUCGAAAGUGCGGGUAUCGAACAGGAUUAGAUACCCUGGUAGUCCGCACGGUAAACGAUGGAUGCCCGCUGUCUGCGAUACACUGUAGGCGGCCAAGAGAAAUCGUUAAGCAUCCCACCUGGGGAGUACGCCGGCAACGGUGAAACUCAAAGGAAUUGACGGGGGCCCGCACAAGCGGAGGAACAUGUGGUUUAAUUCGAUGAUACGCGAGGAACCUUACCCGGGCUUGAACUGCAGGCGUACGAUACAGAGAUGUUGAGGCCCUUCGGGGCGCCUGUGGAGGUGCUGCAUGGUUGUCGUCAGCUCGUGCCGUGAGGUGUCGGCUUAAGUGCCAUAACGAGCGCAACCCCUUUCUCCAGUUGCCAUCAGGUUAUGCUGGGCACUCUGGAGACACUGCCACCGUAAGGUGUGAGGAAGGUGGGGAUGACGUCAAAUCAGCACGGCCCUUACGUCCGGGGCUACACACGUGUUACAAUGGGUGGUACAGAGAGUCGGUCGUCUGCAAAUGCGAUCCAAUCCUUAAAGCCAUCCUCAGUUCGGAUUGGGGUCUGCAACCCGACCCCAUGAAGCUGGAUUCGCUAGUAAUCGCGCAUCAGCCAUGGCGCGGUGAAUACGUUCCCGGGCCUUGCACACACCGCCCGUCAAG